CAACUAUUCGCCGUGCUCGAGGCCUUUUAAAUACCUCAGACUCAGUGUCUGGACCCGGGACACACUUGUUGCUAGUUCUGUCCAGUUCUGCACUCCACUGGUACUGAUUUACUGAGCCUUGGCCUUCUUGCAAUCCCGCACUCACAAAAGAGGUGUGAUCUGUUAUCCCCACAGUCGCCACCGAUGAUACUGGAGCAACGAGAGCAAGACUGCAUGGAGCCAAGGAGACGAGCAUCGAUCCUGGCAAUUUUUCCCCUUGGACACCCUGAUUCCUGAUGAGCACAGCAUGGGUGACAUUCGAGUGAAAGUGUUUACAGGUUCCUAUAUCUCAGAUCACAACAGCGCCAAGCAGAGGAGCAGCCAACAAGAAGCAGGUCCAACAACAUGCCUCUCAGCACGAGCGGGAAGUCUAAUUUUCACAUCUGCUCAUUGCUUAGCAGCCAGUGGUCCCCAUUGAAAUGAUAUGGAAAAGAGCAGCGUGAACAUCCUGCCCAACAUCUCCUUUUGUUUGAUGGCGAACAGAAAGUCAAAGGGGUUUGGACUGACAUGAAGCCAUCAAUAGGAGGGAAGAAGGAUCAGCAGGACCCUUGAAGGUGGCCACUGUCAGACAGGUUUAUGGAUGGUGUAGUUCUUCACCAGAACUUCGGCUUUUACACACCACCUCAGGAGCUUAUGCUGAGUCUGUAUUGAAAGGAUUCUGAUAUUUCAUCCAAAAAAGAGCCUACGCAAUCGCACUGAAACCUGAUCCGGGACUCGCAUGAGCCGGGAUUAACAAAAAAUAUUUCAUCUCUGCCUUCUUCCCAGCACCUUGGCCCCUCUUGCUGAUCUUAUCUCCCAAUUACUGCCCUGCAAACAUUCCUGCACUCCAAACAGACUGCGAACGUGGAACGCUGGAGUCCAAGAUCACCUGUUCUUUUCUAGACAUGCAUCUACUUCCUGUUCUGAAGCAACAGUAAGCAGGAGUUUGACCUUGGCGGAGAUUGUGGGGCCACACCGGAGAGAGGGCGAUAGGUGGGAAAGACAUCUCCCGCUCCUGAAUUUGAUCCAGGAUCUGCUCCAUCGACAUGUGUUCAGUGACGUUACGUCACAGGCCAGGAGCCCUAAAAACAAAGUAUGCAGAAGACGUGCCAGUCUAAGAGGCUGUGUGAAGCUCUCUUAAGGACUCAUUCAUCAUUGUAAAAUGGUCAUCCUCCAUUUCAGAAUAAACAGGCUGUCGUUUUUAAUGCAUUCAUUCAUGGGUGGCCACCCCUGCCCACCCAAACAGCCCAUUGGAAGGUCUGGAGAGGUAAUUUUCUUUAAUAACAUACCGUCGUAGUUUGAACAUGGUUAUUAAAAACCACCACUAUUCUGGGCUUGAAGGGUUUUGUGCCAGCCGACAGUCCUCUGCCAGUCCUACAUCUCUGAACUAAUUCCUCAAAAAUAGGAGAAAAAUUGCUGAGCCACAUUUAUGACUGAGCAUUUUUUUUUACAGAGGCAGAGACUGACACAGUAUGGCUCACACUGGUUAUUAUUGUUAAGUGUUUUGUGAUUUAACUUGGUGUAAAAUGUAAUUAUUAAAGUGCCAUUCCAGACCAGUUUGUCAAUGC
ensembl:lncRNA